rnacentral:rRNA from 1 species
GACGAACGCUGGCGGUGUGCUUAACACAUGCAAGUCGAACGGAAAGGCCCUGCUUUCGUGGGGUGCCCGAUUGGCGAACGGGUGAGUAUCACGUGAGUAACCUGCCCUUGCCUCUGGGAUAACUUCAGGACACUGGGGCUAAUACCGGAAAGGCGCACCUGCUGCUUGGUGGGGGUUGGAAAGUUUCGGCGGUAGGGGAUGGACUCGAGGCUUAUCAGCUUGUUGGUGGGGUAGUGGGUUACCACGGCUUUGACGGGUAGCCGGCCUGAGAGGGUGACCGGCCAAAGUGGGACUGUGAUACGGGCCGGAGUCGUGCGGGAGGCAGCAGUGGGGAAUAGUGCAUGAUGGACGGAAGCCUGAUGCAGCAACGCCGCGUGCGGGAUGACGGCCUUCGGGUUGUAGACCGCUUUCGCCUGCGACGGAGCGUGAGUGACGGUAAUGGGUGAAGAAGCACCGGCUAACUACGUG